rnacentral:rRNA from 1 species
GAUGAACGCUGGCGGCGUGCCUAAUACAUGCAAGUCGAGCGAACAGACGAGGAGCUUGCUCCUCUGACGUUAGCGGCGGACGGGUGAGUAACACGUGGAUAACCUACCUAUAAGACUGGGAUAACUUCGGGAAACCGGAGCUAAUACCGGAUAACAUGUUGAACCGCAUGGUUUAACAGUGAAAGACGGUCUUGCUGUCACUUAUAGAUGGAUCCGCGCCGCAUUAGCUAGUUGGUAAGGUAACGGCUUACCAAGGCAACGAUGCGUAGCCGACCUGAGAGGGUGAUCGGCCACAUUGGAACUGAGACACGGUCCAGACUCCUACGGGAGGCAGCAGUAGGGAAUCUUCCGCAAUGGGCGAAAGCCUGACGGAGCAACGCCGCGUGAGUGAAGAAGGUCUUCGGAUCGUAAAACUCUGUUAUUAGGGAAGAACAAAUGUGUAAGUAACUAUGCACGUCUUGACGGUACCUAAUCAGAAAGCCACGGCUAACUACGUG